rnacentral:tRNA from 1 species
GGAAGUUUAGCUCAGCUGGGAGAGCAUCUGCCUUACAAGCAGAGGGUCACAGGUUCGAACCCUGUAACUUCCACCA